rnacentral:misc_RNA from 1 species
GAUGAAGAACGUAGCGAAAUGCGAUACUUGGUGUGAAUUGCAGAAUCCCGUGAACCAUCGAGUCUUUGAACGCAAGUUGCGCCCGAAGCCGUCAGGCCGAGGGCACGCCUGCCUGGGCGUCACACGCCGUUGCCCCCCCGCGCCCCGCACCCAACUCUUUGGGAGCGACCGCGGGGCGGGCUGAUGAUGGCCUCCCGUGCGCUCCGCCGCGCGGUUGGCCCAAAUACCGAGUCCCCGGCGACGUGCGCCACGACGAUCGGUGGUUGAGAGACCUCUGUCGCAAGUCGUGCGCGCCCGUCGCGUCACGCGGGCUCGCGUAGCGCCUCGCGCCGCACCCGGUGCGGAGCUUUCAACGCGACCCCAGGUCAGGCGGGGUUACCCGCUGAAUUUAAGCAUAUCAAUAAGCGGAGGA